GGAUUAGAUACCCUGGUAGUCCACGCCGUAAACGAUGAGUGCUAGGCGGUGGAGGAUUUGACCCCUUCGCUGUCGCAGCUAACGCGCUAAGCACUCCGCCUGGGGAGUACGGUCGCAAGACUAAAACUCAAAGGAAUUGACGGGGGCCCGCACAAGCGGUGGAGCAUGUUGUUUAAUUCGAAGCAACGCGAAGAACCUUACCUAGCCUUGACAUACCUGUCAUACCAUUCCGAAAAGAAUGGGUCAUUUAGUUGGACAGUGUACAGGUGUUGCAUGGCUGUCGUCAGCUCGUGCUG
rnacentral:rRNA from 1 species